AAGUCGUAACAAGGUUUCCGUAGGUGAACCUGCGGAAGGAUCAUUAUCGAGUUUUGAACGGGUUGUAGCUGGCCUUUAACGAGGCAUGUGCACACCUGGCUCAUCCACUCUCAACCUCUGUGCACUUUAUGUAAGAAACGGUGUAAGCCAGCUAUUUACUAGUUGGUAACAAGCCUUUCUUAUGUUUACUACAAACGCUUCAGUUAUAGAAUGUUUACUGUGUAUAACACAAUUAUAUACAACUUUCAGCAACGGAUCUCUUGGCUCUC
rnacentral:misc_RNA from 1 species